AACGAACGCUGGCGGCAUGCCUAAUACAUGCAAGUCGAACGAGAAAUACGGGUCUAGUGGCGAACGGGUGGGUAACGCGAGGGAACAUGAACUUAGGGUGGGAAUAACUUCCAGCGAGGGGCGACAAUACCGGACAAAGUCUAAGGCCGCAAGAUUUAUCGACUCUGGAUGGGCAAGCGUUGGAUAAGCAAGUUGGUAGCGUAAACGCCUACCAAGGUGACGAUCCAUAGUUGGUCUGAGAGGAUGGUCAGCCACCCUGGGAAUGAGACACGGCCCAGAGUCCUACGGGAGGCAGCAGUUGUGAAUAUUGAACAAUGGGCGAGUGCCUGAUCCAUCAAUGCCGCGUGAGUGUUGUAGUCCUUAAGGUUGUAAAGCUCUGUUGCCCGGUAUGAUAAUGACAGUACCGAGAGAAUAAGCGCCGGCUAACUCCGUG
rnacentral:rRNA from 1 species